rnacentral:rRNA from 1 species
AUGAAGUCGGAAUUGCUAGUAAUCGCGGAUCAGCAUGCCGCGGUGAAUACGUUCCCGGGCCUUGUACACACCGCCCGUCACACCAUGAGAGCCGGUAAUACCCGAAGUCAGUAGCCUAACCGCAAGGAGGGCGCUGCCGAAGGUAGGAUUGGCGAUUGGGGUGAAGUCGUAACAAGGUAAC